UUGAGGAUUUUAGGGCAGAUUUUAGCAAUGCCAAACAUUAUCAUCAUCAGAUGUGGAAAUGCUUAUGUUAUGAUGCCAAAUCAAAUCAAGGUCCUUCUAGAAGCAAUGCAAAUGAGAUUAGUUGCUUCCAAAGCUGCAGCAGAAGCUUUAGAAGAGGCCACUGCCACAGUGUUGAUUGUAAGGAGCCUAAGAAAAUUGAGCAUCUCUUCAAAGUACAUGUAUACUAUAAACGUGUCGCGUUUGGUGGUUUUUGGAGCUUCAAGUUUGUUUGGUUGCUUGUGGUGGUUUUAGUUAUGAGGAUGUAGCUGGUACGUAUAAAAGCUGUUUGCUCGACAGAGAACAAGAAAAACCUCUUUUGAUAAACCAAGCAAACAUUCGUCUAAGCCUCCUUCAAGUGGUGCUUGCAAUCCUCAUUUAUAGUUGAGAGGUUACUAUACAGAAGGCUAUGUUUUAUCAUGGAGUGAAUUCAAGCAACGUGAUCUAUUGAGUGGUUCAAAUGACUCCCAAAUAUGCUUGUGGGACAUCAAUGCGACUUGAAGAAUGAGACUCUUAAUGAAAUGCAAAAUUUUAAGGUAUGUACUAAUAAAAACAUGUUAUAAUUUCUUUUGACUAUGUUAAUGUUACUGUCAUCUUUCAGUAUACAAAAAAUUUUAUCGCUCGAUGUUAUCCUUCCAUCUUAAAACUCUCAGACAUACAAUUCUUGGUCAUUUCGAAACCUCCAAAUAUGUGAUUUGCAAUCAUGGGUGAAAUCUCA